CCUACGGGAGGCUGCAGUGGGGAAUAUUGCACAAUGGGCGCAAGCCUGAUGCAGCCAUGCCGCGUGUGUGAAGAAGGCCUUCGGGUUGUAAAGCACUUUCAGCGGGGAGGAAGGCGGUGAGGUUAAUAACCUCAUCGAUUGACGUUACCCGCAGAAGAAGCACCGGCUAACUCCGUGCCAGCAGCCGCGGUAAUACGGAGGGUGCAAGCGUUAAUCGGAAUUACUGGGCGUAAAGCGCACGCAGGCGGUCUGUCAAGUCGGAUGUGAAAUCCCCGGGCUCAACCUGGGAACUGCAUUCGAAACUGGCAGGCUAGAGUCUUGUAGGGGGGGGUAGAAUUCCAGGUGUAGCGGUGAAAUGCGUAGAGAUCUGGAGGAAUACCGGUGGCGAAGGCGGCCCCCUGGACAAAGACUGACGCUCAGGUGCGAAAGCGUGGGGAGCAAACAGGAUUAGAUACCCCGGUAGUC
rnacentral:rRNA from 1 species